GCGUGAGAGAAAAUAUCUAGAUAUUUAUUAAAGUAAAAUGGAUGGCUAGGAUUGGCCUAGAGUUUUGUCUUUUGAUCCAAUGGCUAAGAUGGAGCAAGAUCACUUUGGUCAUAAGAUUGUUUGGUGGACUUUUUAACUUAGAAAAAAAAAUUGAAAAACUCUUCUUCUCUUCCUCUCAAAACCGUCCCCCUCUUCUCUCCCACUCACCUCACCAUUGAUUUUCCAUUUCUCAUCCAUUCAAGCUUGGAUUUGUCUCUUUGGAUCAAGGAUCUUGCAAGGAAAUCACUCCUCAUAAGGAAGCACGUAACGGUAGAAUAGAGCGAACGUUGUGGUUUUUGAUUGGAAGCUUGCCGAGACGAUGGAGCGCCAUCUGAGACCGUAGGCCGUGUGGACGGCGAGGACUUCGUGGACUA